rnacentral:ncRNA from 1 species
CACUCUGGAGAAUCCCGGUUUUAGACCGGGUGCCGAAGGGGCAAACAGCACAGGCGCUGUAAUCUCUCAGGCAAAAGGACAGAGC